rnacentral:piRNA from 1 species
GAUGUUUCAGUAUAUUGAAUGUUGCUGUGAGC